AUGUAACAAUGUAUUGUGGUAAUGUUGUAUAGCUUUUUUCUAUUUUGUUUUUAGUGUUAGGGUUGCUAAAAGCUUAUUUAAAAAAACCAACUGGUGUGGGGGCAUAAAUGGUGACAGAAGGAGACUUGACUUGGGGUGAAUUAUACCCCUGAAACCUAUAUAAUUUUAUUAACUAAUGUCACCCCAAUAAAUUCAAUAAGAAAGUAAAAAACUACCCAACUGAUAUAAUGUGCUUUCAGUCAAGAGGACACUGCCAUGAUCAUGAUCCUCCUCCUGUCACUGUGUGCACAUCCCCUGGCCUCUUUCUACACUUUGUUAAGAGGGAGGCCAAGGGAGUUCAAAUUUUAGGCAGUGAGUGGCGGGGGUGCCAUCCUACCAAGCUGGCCAACCCCCCAGCAAACCUUACCUGGAAUGCUUCUGCUAAAGGCAG